rnacentral:lncRNA from 1 species
UUAUUCCUGAGAGACACAGAGAGAAGGCAGAGACAUAGGCAGAGGGGGAAGCAGGCUCCUCGCAGGAAGCCCAAUGUUGGACUUGAUCCUGGGACUCUGGGACCACACCUUGGGCCAAAGGCAGACACUCAAUCACUGAGCCACCCAGGCAUCACUUUUUCUAGGUUUUAAAGUAGAAACUGAGGUAACUAUUUGUCACAUUUCUUCCUUUUUAGUAUAAGCAUUUAACUUUCUUCAAAACACCACUUUAACUUCAUAAUAUGAGUUUUGAUGCUAUUUUUUGUUAUCAUUCAGUUCAAAGUAUUUUGUAAUUUUUUUAUUCUAAAUGUAUUGUAUUAUUUAUAAAUAUUUGGGAAUUAAAAACACUUUCAAUUAUUUUUUUAAUAAAUUUAUUUUCUAUUGGUGUUCAAUUUGCCAACAUAUAGAAUAACUUUCAGUAUUGAUAUCUAGUUUAAUUUACUUUUGGUCAUAAAAUUAAAAUUACUAACUAUAUUAAUGCCAGAGUAACAAUACCUAUAUUAGACAAACUAGAUCUUAAACCAAAGACUAUAACAAGAAAUGAAGAAGGGCACUAUAUCAUAAUAAAAGGGAUGAUCCAACAAGAGGAUCUAAUAAUUAUAAAUAUUUAUGCCCCCAACAUGGGAGCACUCAAAUAUAUAAAACAAUUAAGAAUAAACAUAAAGGAACUAACUGAUAAUAAUACAAUAAUAGUGGGGACACCCCACUUAUAUUAAUAGAUCAUCUAAGCAGAAAGUCAACAAGGAAACAAUGGCUUUGAAUGACACACUGGACCACAUGGACUCAACAUAUAUAUUCAUAACAUUCCAUCCUAAAGAAGCAGAAUACACAUUCUCUUCAAAUACAUAUGGAACAUACUAGGUAACAUACUAAGUCACAAAUCAGGCCUCAUCAGGUACAAAAAGAUUAAUAUCAUACUAUGCAUAUUUUCCAAUCAUAACACUAUAAAACUUGAAGUCAACAACAAGAAAAACUUUGGAAAGACCAUAAAUACACUACUGAACAAUGAAUGGUUCAACCAGGAAAUCAAAGAAGAAAUUUAAAAAUACAUGGAAACAAAUGAAAAUGAAAACACAGCAGUUCAAAAUCUUUGAGAUGCAGCAAAAGCCAUAAGAGGGAAGAAUAUAGCAAUACAGGCCUACUUCAAGAAGCAAGAAAAAUCUCAAAUAAACAACGUAACCUUGCACCUAAAGAAGCUAGAAAAAAAAGCCUAAAGCCAGCAGAGGAAGGGAAAUAAUAAAAGUUAAAGCUGAAAUAAAUGAUAUAGAAACUAAAAAAUAAUGGAACAGAUCAACGAAACCAGGAGCUGGUUCUUUGAAAAUAACAUUGACAAACCUUCAGCCAAACUUCUCAAAAAGAAAAGACAAAUGACCCAAAUAAAAAAAGUCACAAAUGAAAGAGGAGAAAUCAAAACCAACACCACAGAAAUACAAUUACAAGAGAAUAUUAUAAUAAACUACAUGCCAACAGAUUGGACAAUAUUGCAGAAAUGAAUAAAUUCUUAGAAAUAUAUAAACACCAAAACAGAAAGAAAUAGAAAAUUUGAACCAAAAAUCUCCCAAUCAACAAAAGUCCAGAGCCAGAUGGCUUCAUGAGUAAAUUCUACCAAACAAUUAAAGAGCAGCUUAUAUCUAUUCCUCUCAAACUAUUCCAAAAAAUAGAAAUGGAAGGAAAGCUUCCAAAUUCAUUCUAUGAGGUCAACGUUAUCCUGAUACCAAAAUGAGACAAAGACUGCACUAAAAAAGAAAACCACAAGUCAAUAUCCCUGAUGAACAUAAACACAAAAAUUCUCAAUAAAAUGCUAUCAAAUCAACUUCAACAGUACAUUAUAAGACUCAUUCACCACAAUCAAGUAGGAUUUAUACUUUGGAUCCAAGGGUGGGUCAAUAUUUGCAAAUUAAUCAAUGUGAUAUACCACAUUAAUGAAGGAUUAGAACCAUACAAUCCUUUCAAUAGAUUCAGAAAAAGCAUUUGACCAAGUAUAACAUCUAUUUGUGACAAAAACCCUCAUCAAAGUAGAGUUAGAAGGAGCAUGCCCCAAGAUAAUAAAGGCCAUAUAUGAAAAAGCCACAGCUAAUAUCAUCCUCAAAAAGGAAAAACUGAGAGCUUUUCCUCUAUAGUCAGGACAAGACAGGGAUGUCCACUCUCAUCGUGACUGUGUAACAAAGUACUAGAAGUCUUAGCUGCAGCAAUUAGAUAACAAAAAGAAAUAAAAGGCACACAAAUCAUCAAGGAAGAAAUCAAACUUUCAUUAUUUGCUGAUGACACAAUACUCUGUAGAAAACCUGAAAGACUCCACCAAAAAAACUGUUAGAAAUAAUACCUAAAUUCAGCAAACUGACAGGAUAUAAAACCGAUGCAUAGAAGUCUGUUGUAUUUCCAUACGCCAAUAAUGAAGCAGCAGAAAGAGAAAUCAAGGAAUCUAUCCCAUUUACACUUGCACCAAAAACAAUACACUUAGGAAUACACCGAACUAAAGAGUUUGUAAAAGACCUGUACUCUGAAAAUUAUAAAACACUGAUGAAAGAAAUUGAAGAGGACACAAAGAAAUGGGGAAAAAAUUCCAUACUCAUGGAUUGAAAGAACAAAUAUGUUAAAAUAUCUAUGCUAUCCAAAGCAAUCUACACAUUUAAUGCAACCCCUAUAUUCAUACCAAUAGCAUUUUUCACAGAGCUAGAACAAACAAUCCUAAAUUUGUGUGGAACCAUAAAAGACUCAGAUAACCAAAGCAAUCUUAAAAGAAAGCAAAGCAAAGCUAAAGGCAUCACAAUUCUGGACUUCAAAUUAUAUUAUUAUAAAGCUGUAGUGAUCAAGACAGUAUAGUACUGGUACAAAACCAGGCACAACUGAACAAAAAAGAAAUCCCAGAAAUGAGCCCACAACUAUAUGGUCAAUUAAUCUUUGAUAAAGUAGGAAAGAGUAUCUAAUGGAAAAAUGACAAUCUCUUCAACAAAUAGUGUUGGGAAAACUAGACGGCCACAUGCAGAAGAAUGAAACUGGGCCACUUUCUUACACCAUACACAAAAAUAAAUUCAAAAUGGAUUAAAGAUAUAAAUAUGAGGUGGGAAACCAUUAAAAUCCUAGAGGAGAAUGUAGACAGUAACUUCUUUGACCUUGGCCAUAGCAACUUCUUUCUAGAUGAGUCUCCUGAGGCAAGGGAAACAAAAACAAAAAUAAACCAUUGAGACAUCAUCAAAAUAAAAAGCUUCUGCACAGCGGAGGAAACAUCAACAAAACUAAAAGGCAGACUACAGAUUGGGAGAAGAUAUUUGCAAAUGACAUAUCUGAUAAAGGGUUAGUAUCCAAAAUACAAAAAGAACUUAUAAAACUCAACACCCAAAAAACAAACAAUCCAGUUAAAAAAUGGGCAGAAGAUAUGACUAGACAUUUCUUCAAAGAUGUACAAAUGGCCAAUAGACACAUGAAAAAGUGCCCAACAUCACUGACCAUCAGGGAAAUACAAAUCAAAACUACAAUGAGAUAUCAUCUCACACCAAUCAGAAGAGCUAAAAUUAAUGACACAGGGACCAACGGAUGUUACUGAGGAUUCAGGGGAAGGGGAAUUUUCUCACCCUGUUGGUGGGAGUGCAAAUUGGUGCAGCCACUUUGGAAAAGAGUAUGGCAGUUCCUCAAAAAGUUAAAAAUAGAAUUACUCUAUGAUCCAGCAAUUGUGCUACUUAGGUAUUUAUCCAAAGGAUAUAAAAAUAUUAAUAUAAAGGGAAUACAUGCACUUCUAUGUUUAUAGUAGCAUUAUCAACAACAGCCAAAUUAUGGAAAGAGCCCAAAUGUUCAUCAAUUGAUGAAUGGAUAAAGAAAAUGUGAUGUAUAUAUACAAUGGAAUAUUACUCAGCCAUCAAAUUACUCUUGUCAUUUGCAACAAUGUAGAUGGAACUGAAGUGUAUUAAGCUAAGUGAAAGAAGUCAAAGAAAGACAAAUACCAUAUGGUUUCACUCAUAUGUGGAAUUUAAGAAACAAAACAGAUGAACAUAGAGGGGAAAACAGGAAAAGCAAGAAACAGACUCUUAAAUAUAGAGAACAAACUGAUGGUUACUAGAAGGGAGCUGGGCAGGGGGAUAGGUGAAAUAGGUGAUGGGGAUUAAGGAGGGUACUUGUGAUGAGCACUGGGUAUUAUAUGUUAAGUGCUGAAUCAGUGAAUUCCAUACCUGAAACUAAUAUAACACUAUAUGUUAACUAACUGGAAUUUAAGUAAAAACUUGGAAGAAAAUAAAUACGUAAAAUUACUAACUACAUUAAUUAUAAAUUAUUAAAAAUUCAGUCCUUUUUGUUUACUUAACCUUUAAUGGUUCAGCAUAUAUCUGGGUGAAAGUUUCAUAUGAACUUGAAGGAGCAUGCAUUAUUCUUUUUUGAGUUCCUUUAGAAAUCAAGUUGGUUGACAGUAGUGUUCAGGUCAUCUCUGUCUUCUGACAGAGAUGGUAGGUUCUUUAAAUUCUGUCAGUUUUUGCUAUAUCUAUCUGAGGUAAUUUUCCCUAUUUCAAAAUCUACUUAGUCUGAUAUUAAUAAAGCCAUUCCAGCUUUCUUAUGUUUACACAUAUUCUGAGUAAAUAGUGUAUCUUUUUUCAUUCUUUUUACUUUCAUCUAUCUGAUUUUCUUGUACAUGUCAUAUAGGUCUAUUUUUGUGCAUAAUAAUCUCUGCCUUUUAAAAUGGUAUGUUUAUAUAAUUUAUAGUUAAAAUAGUUAUCAGUAUGAUUGUUGCUUUUAAAUCUACCAUUUGCAACUCAUGUGCUAAUUGCUCAUCUGCAGUUUGUCCAAUGUUCCUCUUUUCUUGGUUCUUUAUAAUUAUUUAUGUACAUUUUAAGAUUCCAUUUUAUAUUCACCAUUGAUUUAUUUUAUAUUUUGUUGAAUAGUCAUGGGUUUAUAUUAAGCUUCUGUACCUUAAUAGAGUCUAUUUUCAAAUAAUAUUAUACUACUUUAUGUGGUACACUUGCAAAAAUAUGCUUUUUAGACAGAAGCACAUAAAUAUAAUAGAUAAUAGUCUGCCCUUGAGAGACUUAUUAAAGAGAUGUGCACUGACCCUGGUGGGCGUGGUGCCUUAGGGUAGGGAACUCCAGGUUCAGGGGUACUAAGAGAAUGGUCUAGAUUAAAGAUCCUCUUGACCUUGCAGACUUUCACCUGCUGGAAAGGGCAAUAGCUAGAAGUCGACUGCAGCAAUGUCUUCUAAGUUUCAAGGCCCAGGGUCUACGGGCAAUAUUAUCUCUUAAUAUUGACUAUGCUCUUCAGCGUUAUGUCCUCAGGCAUUAGUUAGUCUCUUGAUCAGAGCUUCUAAUUUGAGAUAGAUUGGGAAAUAAUUUCUUUCAGAAUUAAACUCAAAGUAAAAACUCAGAGUGGGGAAAAAAAGGAUAAAAAUCAAGAAAAUUUUAGACAAAGUGGUGAAAGUAAUUGAAUUUUCACUGAUUGACAAUUUCUCUGAAUUUAUUGCUAGGUUAGUAUAAUUAACUAAUUCUUAAACUCAUAUAAUUAUCCUGGUAACUACCAAAAUUUUAUGAUAACUUUCUCUUCUUUAGAUCUUCCCCUUCUUUUCAAAACCUUCUGCUUCACAAGGGCCUAAUUUCCUAUUUUCACAUAUUUCUGUAUAUUGUUAAAUGUCUAAAUAUUUUCCCCAGAUUGAGGCUGUUUCUAAUACUAUUGUAAAUAUCGAAUUUUAAUAAUUAUAUUCUGUAUAAUUUUAUUAACAAUUUAUGUAUAAAUA